GAACCAGGAAGUGGAUUCUCACUAGACCCAACCUGAUCUUGGACUUCCAGCUUCCAGAACUCCUUUGCUGUCUCCUGGAUGACUUCAGGAACUGGAGCUGUGUAUCCAUCAGGCGAUUUCCAGAGCAUUCACUGCUGUGUUUAGGAGCUUCUCCAUGGUUAGCUGGAUGACCUUGGCAUGGACAGUUUGGCCAGAGAGAUACAGCAGAGACGACUUUGAGGAGAUGUUUCUCCUGUUCUAAGAGAUCCACGGGAGGUGAUGGUCCUCUUUCCACCUAGACUUGGCUCUGUGAGGGGGAAAUUCUGGAAGCCACCGCAACCAUU